CAGUAGCCGCGGGAAUACGUAGGUCCCGAGCGUUGUCCGGAUUUAUUGGGCGUAAAGCGAGCGCAGGCGGUUUGAUAAGUCUGAAGUUAAAGGCUGUGGCUCAACCAUAGUUCGCUUUGGAAACUGUCAAACUUGAGUGCAGAAGGGGAGAGUGGAAUUCCAUGUGUAGCGGUGAAAUGCGUAGAUAUAUGGAGGAACACCGGUGGCGAAAGCGGCUCUCUGGUCUGUAACUGACGCUGAGGCUCGAAAGCGUGGGGAGCGAACAGGAUUAGAUACCCCAGUAGUCCCUGUCUCUUAUACU
rnacentral:rRNA from 1 species